rnacentral:rRNA from 1 species
AAAUUGAAGAGUUUGAUCAUGGCUCAGAUUGAACGCUGGCGGCAGGCCUAACACAUGCAAGUCGAACGGUAACAGGAAGCAGCUUGCUGCUUCGCUGACGAGUGGCGGACGGGUGAGUAAUGUCUGGGAAACUGCCUGAUGGAGGGGGAUAACUACUGGAAACGGUGGCUAAUACCGCAUAACGUCGCAAGACCAAAGAGGGGGAUCU